ACUGGAUUAUUUAUUAGUUUUUGGAUUGUAGUUUGUAUUAAUAGAAGGAUAUGUUUGUUUAAUUAGUUCAACUGAAAGGAUUUAGCUUAAUUAUAGGGUAUUAGUAUCGUGAGAGAAUUUAAAAACUUAUUUUAAAGAAAAAUUAAAAUUUUGUACCUUGUGUAUCAGGGUUUAUUAAAUAAGACUCAUAAAUAUUGAGCUUCCCGAAUUUAGAAGAGUUAUGAUUUUAUAUUUUUUACUGUGGAAUAAUUAUUAUAAAUAAAUUCAUUGAGGUGAAAUGCUAUUCGAUUUUAAAUUUAUCUGGUUUUUUAAGAAAGAAGUUUAAUUUUUUGUUUAUUUAAGUAUAGGGUUAUUUGGGUAGCCUUGUGCUGGUAGGCUGUUAUACUUUAAGGGAUGAGCUUUGGGGUAGAAUAAUAAAAUUUAUGUUAUAGUAGUUUAAAUAAGUAGAAUUGAAAGUUUUUUUCUUUAUUAGUGUUUUAUUACUAAUUUAAUUUUAUUUUAGAUUUAUAUAUAUAUAAAUUUAUAUUUUUUAUUAAAACGAAGGUUUGAAUAUUAUAUAUUUUGUGACUAUGAUAGAAUUAGUAUAUAUAUGUAUAUUGUGAAAUAACUAUGUGGUAUGCAGGUUAGAUUAAGGAAUUCGGCAAAAUAAAUUUUCACCUGUUUACUAAAAACAUGGCUUUUUGAGUUUUGAUUUAAAGUCUGACCUGCCCAAUGAGUAAUUUAAUGGCCGCGGUAUACUGACCGUGCAAAGGUAGCAUAAUCAAUAGUUUCUUAAUUAGAAGCUUGUAUGAAAGGUUGGAUGAGGGAUUUACUGUCUCAAUUUAAUUUUAAUAAAAUUUUAUUUCUAAGUAAAAAAGCUUAGAUGCUUAUAAAAGACGAGAAGACCCUAUAGAGUUUUACAUUUUAAGGGAUUUACAGGUUUAGUAUUUAUAAUUUGUUUAUUUUUAGAAAUGUUUAGCUGGGGUGGUUGAAAAAUUGAGUGAACUUUUUUUUUAGUUGACAUUUAUUUAUGAGUAUCUGAUCCUUUUUUGAAGAUUAAAAGAUUAAAUUACCUUAGGGAUAACAGCGUAAUUUUUUUGGAGAGUUCAGAUCGAUAAAAAAGUUUGCGACCUCGAUGUUGGAUUAAAAUUUAAGUUUGGUGUAGAAGCUGAAUGAUUUAGGUCUGUUCGACCUUUGAAAUUUUACAUGAUCUGAGUUUAAACCGGUGUGAGCCAGGUUGGUUUCUAUCUUUAUAAAGUUUUAAUGUUUUAGUACGAAAGGACCGAGCAUUAGGUUAAUAAUUUUUUAUUGGAUAAUAUU
rnacentral:rRNA from 1 species